rnacentral:misc_RNA from 1 species
AAUUCUGUCAAAACAUGCACUUGAGUGUGUUUUGGAUUGUGGGAGUGUCUGCUGGCUUUAUAUGAGUCAGCUCUCCUGAAAGACAUUAGCUUUGGAGGGAUGUGCCAAGUCACUUCUGCCUUUCCAUUGGUGUGAUAGAUGAAUAAACUUAUCUACGCCAGGAAAGCAGGUUGCAGGUGAUGCACUGUGAUCUCUCUGCUCUCUAAUUGACAUUUGUCUGAUA